GCCCGGAUGGUGGAAUGGUAGACACAAGGGACUUAAAAUCCCUGGGCCGCGAGGCUGUGCGGGUUCAAGUCCCGCUCCGGGUACCA
rnacentral:tRNA from 3 species